UCUCCUCAGGCUCCUCCCCUUCUACAGCCUCCUCCUCCUCCUCAGGCUCCUCCUCCUCAGGCUCCACCUCCACUACAGCCUCCUCCUCCUCAGCCUCCUCCUCCCACGGGGCGGGAACACUCUAGAGCUGGAGCAGAUCCUCUGUCAACCUGAAGGUCUCUGGUUCGAACCCCGGCUCCUCCUAUCUGAGUAAGGAGAUGCCCCUGAGCAAGGCAGCUCACCCUCACUGCUCCCGACCGGCUGGCUGUUACCCUGCGUGGCCGACACCAUUGUCGCUGUGCAUGCCUGUGUUAAUGUAUUUAUGAAUGGGUGAAUCAGUGUGGAGCGGCCAUAGGGCAGAAGAACGCUUACUAAAUGCAGUCCAUAAAGCACGUUCCAGAUCAGGUCCUGGACCAGGUCUGUAGAAAGGUCUCAGGAAGGACACGGUGGUGCAGGAUGAAGACCUAGAGGGUUCCGAUCUGAUGAACCACGGAGACAGAAGAGGGCGAGGUCAGCAGACUGUCAAAGCUCUUUAAUCAGAUCACAGAAAACAGGAGAUUGAAGCAUUUCAAAGUGACAUUUGACAUAAUCAAAAUAUAUCGGUUGGGCAGGCGGGGCUGCCCCGUAAAGGUGGUGCUGAUGGUGUUACUGUACCAUACACAGGUGGAGCUCUGACAGAAAGGCUUUUUAAAAGGUUCAUUGGUCAAGUAAUCAGGAAGAGCUCCCCCUCGCUGCAGGUCGACAUUAAGAGCUUUUCUCAAACAGCUGCUGACCAAACGGAAAGUUCAAACUAAAAUAAAGUCCAACAUCAUGGCUCCAACAAGGCGUGUCAACGACGCCUCACUCUGAUAGGUCCUUUAUACAAACACACACACACACACACACACACACACACACACACACACACACACCCCUCAGCACCCACCCCCCUUAGCCUCGCAGCAACCAAUCACAGACGACAAGCGCGUGUUCCUCCAGUGAGUCCAACUGACAGAAGACGGACCAGGUGGUCCGGGUCUCUUUGACCUCUGACCUCUCGCUCCCGACCACUCAACACACUUAUUUACAUACACACAUUUAAAACACACAACCUAUCUCUCUUAAUAUUUUAGUUACACACAACUACGACACGCAGAGCCCGGGAGUUCUAGAGGCUGUGAUUCGCUGCUCCGUCCGGCCUUAAAUAAACAUGGUUGUAUGGUUAGAGCGUCAGCCCAAUAAAAGAACAAACACACACACACACAAACACUGGGCCCCUGGCGGUGUGUAUGUGUGUGGAGUAGGGCUUUGACUUUUGCCCAAAAAUCGUAUUCGAAGUUUGUUUGUUUAUUAAUAUUAAAAUAUAUUCGACAUUUAUUAUUGAUAUUUUGACCAUUAAAUCCCUUCAGUAAGACCUGGAUUGGGCUUCGCGAGGUUUGUUUACUGGUGCUGCUAUGGUUACCGGUCUUGCGCGUUCCAACGGUUAUUAGGUUUCUAAUAAAUCGCUGUCUAAUCAAUACUUCAUUCACUGCCUCUUCCGUGGUCAUUACAAUAUUAUGAAUGGACUGCGUCGGGUUGUCCGACGUCUCUCCCUCUUGGCCUGCCCAUAACAGGUACGAGUAUUACGAAUGCCUAAUAUUCGUUCGAAUUUUGAUUUAUUUAUAUUUAUUCGAAUUAUAUUCGAAUGACGAAGUUCGGGAUCAAAGCCCUAGUAUGGGCGCAGCACACACACGGGCCCUCACGUUGUGGGGGCCCUGGCGGUGUGUGUGUGUGUGUGUGUGUGUGUGUGUGUGUGUGUGUGUGUGUGUGUGUGUGUGUGUGUGUGUGUGUGUGUGUGUGUGUGUGUGUGUGUGUGUGUGUGUGUGUGUGUGUGGAGCAGCAGAAUGAUUGAGUUCCACAAUAAAAGUCCCUUUAACCCCCGUGACCCCAGAGCGUCACAUGAUUGACUCUGGGCAUUCACAACCACCGCAAGGCCUCUCUCAGAACCCCCAGCACCCCCAGCACUGACCGCUGUUGGACCAGUGCACAGACUGCAGCACAGGCCGUCCAGGUCUCUGGCCCCUGGUGCAGGGAGGGACCAGAGAGAGCAGGACUCCAUCCAGGUAGAAGAUGUUUAAUGUGGAAUGCGUCGUCAGGCCGGGCGGUCCCGGGGGGAUGGGGAUGGGGGGAAAAUCAAAGCAGCAACAGUCUUCUAGGAAGUAAGGCUUGGAGUGGCGAGGCAGCACCCAGAUCCACUACCUGCCGUAGGGGUCUCCAUGGGGGAACCCUCCACUAGCAAGGCUGCUCCCCGGGGUCUGGGGGGCCCCCACCCUGGGGGGGUCCACUCUGGGGGGCUCUACCCUGGGGGGGUCCACUCUGUACCCCCCACUGAGGUCUGCCCUGGGGGGGUCUACCCUGUAGUCCACUCUGGGGGGGUCCACCCUGGGGAGGACGGGGCUGUGGAAGGAGGAGGUCUCUGAAGAGAAGAGCAGAGAAGACGAAGGUGGAGCUGCCACAGAGGAGUCUUCUACCGGCUCACCGAGGAACACACGGUCCACGUCUCCAGGGAGAGGGGUCCGUCCUGCUGCUGAAGAACCAGGCUGAGGGGGCGGUCCUGCGGUGGAGGAGCCCGGGGCCUCUGGGUGGGGGCUCUGUCCUGCGAUGGAGGGGCCCGGGGCCUCUGGGUGGGGGGUCUGUCCUGCGGUGGAGGGGCCCGGGGCCUCUGGGUGGGGGCUCUGUCCUGCGGUGGAGGGGCCCGGGGCCUCUGGGUGGGGGGUCUGAACUGCGGUGGAGGGGCCCGGGGCCUCUGGGUGGGGGGUCUGUCCUGCGGUAGAGGGGCCCGGGGCCUCUGGGUGGGGGCUCUGUCCUGCGGUGGAGGGGCCCGGGGCCUCUGGGUGGGGGGUCUGAACUGCGGUGGAGGGGCCCGGGGCCUCUGGGUGGGGGCUCUGUCCUGCGGUAGAGGGGCCCGGGGCCUCUGGGUGGGGGCUCUGUCCUGCGGUGGAGGGGCCCGGGGCCUCGGGGUGGGCGCUGGGUCUGGCCCCGGCAGCGGUCUGGGACCCCCGGUGGAUGCGGUGACUGACGAUGAUGUUGUUCCCGAAGCCCCCCAUGGAGGCCAUGGUUGUGCUCUGCUCGCGCUGGACCACCGCCGUCAUGCCCCCCUCCGCGAUCAGCCGGCGGAUCCGGGCCAGAGCGUCCUCCCCCGAGCCCGUCUCGGAGCCCUCGGGGCCCGCUGGAACAGAGGAUCACACACAUGAUAUACACGAACACACACACACACACACACACACACACACACA
ensembl:lncRNA